rnacentral:lncRNA from 1 species
CAAGCCCCUGGUCUGAAUCUUUUCCCCAUCUCCAAGCGGCGGUUUCCUCUGACGCCCCGUUGGUUGGCUGCAAUAAAGCGGGUAUUACCACCCUGCUGCUGGUUGUUGGAGGUAGAAGGGGCUUUAAAGAGAUCCCCUAAGGUUGCAUACAACUUAUGAGCAUUAGAUGCAGAACCAGGAAAAGCAGGGGGAUUGGCAGGCAC